rnacentral:lncRNA from 14 species
GCAACUAGCUUGGCUCACAGGAACUGAGAGUAACUACAUAGCAGCACUUGAGGACAAGAAGAAGGAAAUACUUCCACCAAAGAGCUCUGUGUGCCUGCAGUGAACAGGAGCUUCCCAUCUGGUCUUCCAAGAGCAUACCAAAGGCAUCACUAGCAAACCAGACCCAAGAUUUAGGAGGUUGCGAUACUGCACCGCUAUUCCCAUGGCAGCUGAGUACUUCUCCUUUUACCUCUCAAGCCUGCCAUUGUGCUGGAAAGGAGAGCAGGUCCUUUUAGGCAGAGUUGUUCCUCUUUGAGAAGACUCAUUUCAAUCCAUCCCUUUCUACAAGUCUGAAAAGAAAAACAAGAACCAGG